rnacentral:rRNA from 1 species
UACGUAGGGCGCAAGCGUUAUCCGGAAUUAUUGGGCGUAAAGAGCUCGUAGGCGGUUUGUCGCGUCUGCCGUGAAAGUCCGGGGCUCAACCGGGGAACUGCGUCCGAUACUGGCGAGCUUGAAUUCGGGAGAGGGAUGUGGAAUUCCAGGUGUAGCGGUGAAAUGCGCAGAUAUCAGGAAGAACACCGGUGGCGAAGGCGGCCACCUGGACGGUAACUGACGCUGAGACGCGAAAGCGUGGGGAGCAAACAGG